rnacentral:tRNA from 1 species
GUUAACUUAGUUUACAAAGAACUCCUGGUUUGCAUCCAAGAAGCGGUUAAAUUUUUACCAGUUAACA